rnacentral:rRNA from 1 species
CAGCCGCCACGGUAAUACGUAGGGUGCAAGCGUUAAUCGGAAUUACUGGGCGUAAAGCGUGCGCAGGCGGUUAUAUAAGACAGAUGUGAAAUCCCCGGGCUCAACCUGGGAACUGCAUUUGUGACUGUAUAGCUAGAGUACGGCAGAGGGGGAUGGAAUUCCGCGUGUAGCAGUGAAAUGCGUAGAUAUGCGGAGGAACACCGAUGGCGAAGGCAAUCCCCUGGGCCUGUACUGACGCUCAUGCACGAAAGCGUGGGGAGCAAACAGGAUUAGAUACCCGAGUAGUCUGUCUCUUAUACAA